rnacentral:rRNA from 1 species
AUGUCGUGGGUGAUGCUAGAUCGCUUCGUGUUCCGCAGGGACGACGACGAGCUUUUCCCGGACGCCGAGGCCACGCACAUGAGAGCUCAGUCCCUCACCUCCGCUGGGAAAAUCUUCAACGUCGCCCUGCUCCCCGCCGCCCCGCCCAUGCUCUCCCGCCUCUACGUGCAGUGGCCGCUCAGUCCGCCGGAGGAGCAGGAUGGUAAUGGCAGGGCAGCCGAGCUCGUGACGGCCCGCCGAGGUUUCCUCCUACUCAGGAUCACCUCCCCCACAGGGCCUGGCGAGAAUGAUUACCUGCAGGACUACUUCGUCUUCAAAGCCGCCACCUCCGCCGGGGACAAUUCGCGGCUCAGGCGGCUCCCGGCGUGCACCCAACCCAUAGUGCUACCUUACGGGGAGUCGGAGGUGACCAUGGAGCGCUGGUUUCAUGAGAACACGAUCGGUCUGGUUUCACUUUCUGGUGACGGCGGUGGCGACGAAGACGAGUUUGCGGUGGUGCAGCUGGCCAAGUUUGUGCAUAUUCCGGGCAGCGCCCCCAAGAUGGGAGCUGAGCUAUGUGUGUUCUGCUCCCGUCUGCCCUCUUCUUCUUCCAAAUCCAACACCAACACUCAAGAUGACGAUGAUGAUGGCGUUGCUGAGGGCGAGUGGGAGGUUCUGGAGCUGUCGAUCCAGCAUGCCGAGGAGGAAUUCUUUGACCUCAAGGGUUGGUCAGCCGAUGGUGCUGUCACAUUUGGCAAAUCCAUAUGCUGGUUUGAUUACCACCAAGGAGGCAUCCUCCGGUGGCACAGGGAUGCGCUCAUUGAUUCUGAAGAUCUAUGGUAUCUUAACGCCCGUCAGAAGUGGCUUAUGCCCGACCACGCCAUGACCACAUUCCCUCUUGUGAGUAUGGACAAGCCGCAUCUUGUGCACUUCCUCGUCUCCGAGCCGAGGAAGAAGAACGAGAUUGAUGAUGUUUCGGUGGUGGUUAUCGAUAUCAUCACACAUAAGAUAGUUUCGAAUUUUCCAUAUAUCCGAGGAGAAGAUCACUGCGGCAAAGAUGCUGACAUGGUCAUGCAAUGGUGCCGUCUUCCGCGGUCUAUUCUCCCUUGUCACUUCUACUAA